rnacentral:snRNA from 1 species
AGCUUUGUGCAGUGGCAGUAUCAUAGCCAAUGAGGUCUAUCUGAGGCGUGAUUAUUGCUAAUUGAAAACUUUUCCCAAUACCCUGCUGUGACAACUUGCAAUAUAGUCAGCAUUGGCAAUUUUUGGCAGUCUUCAUGGAGA